AACGUAGGUGACAAGCGUUAUCCGGAUUUACUGGGCGUAAAGCGCGUGCAGGCGGCUUGGCAAGUCGGGCAUGAAAUCUCCUGGCUUAACUGGGAGACGCUGUCCGAUACUGCUAGGCUUGAGGGCAGUAGAGGGUGGUGGAAUUCCGCAUGUAGUGGUGAAAUGCGUAGAUAUGCGGAGGAACACCAGUGGCGAAGGCGGCCACCUGGACUGCACCUGACGCUGAAGCGCGAAAGCUAGGGGAGCGAAC
rnacentral:rRNA from 1 species